AUGUGAAGCGAACGCGGUGAACUGAAACAUCUAAGUAACCGCAGGAAAAGAAAUCAACCGAGAUUCCCAAAGUAGUGGCGAGCGAAAUGGGAUGAGCCUUGUACUCUUUAUUUGUAUUGUUAGCCGAACGCUCUGGAAAGUGCGGCCAUAGCAGGUGAUAGCCCUGUAGGCGAAAACAGUAUGAAAGAACUAGGUGUACGACAAGUAGGGCGGGACACGUGAAAUCCUGUCUGAAGAUGGGGGGACCAUCCUCCAAGGCUAAAUACUCGUGAUCGACCGAUAGUGAACCAGUACCGUGAGGGAAAGGCGAAAAGAACCCCGGGAGGGGAGUGAAAUAGAUCCUGAAACCGCAUGCAUACAAACAGUCGGAGCCUCGUAAGGGGUGACGGCGUACCUUUUGUAUAAUGGGUCAGCGACUUACGUUCAGUAGCAAGCUUAACCGUAUAGGGCAGGCGUAGCGAAAGCGAGUCCGAAUAGGGCGUUCAGUUGCUGGGCGUAGACCCGAAACCAGGUGAUCUAUCCAUGGCCAGGAUGAAGGUGCGGUAACACGUACUGGAGGUCCGAACCCACUAACGUUGAAAAGUUAGGGGAUGAGCUGUGGAUAGGGGUGAAAGGCUAAACAAACCUGGAAAUAGCUGGUUCUCUCCGAAAACUAUUUAGGUAGUGCCUCGUGUCUCACCUUCGGGGGUAGAGCACUGUCAUGGUUGGGGGGUCUAUUGCAGAUUACCCCGCCAUAGCAAACUCCGAAUACCGAAGAGUGCAAUCACGGGAGACAGACAUCGGGUGCUAACGUCCGGUGUCAAGAGGGAAACAACCCAGACCGCCAGCUAAGGUCCCCAAAUAUGGCUAAGUGGGAAACGAAGUGGGAAGGCUAAAACAGUCAGGAGGUUGGCUUAGAAGCAGCCACCCUUUAAAGAAAGCGUAAUAGCUCACUGAUCGAGUCGUCCUGCGCGGAAGAUGUAACGGGGCUAAGCCAUAUACCGAAGCUGCGGAUGCGUGCUUGCACGCAUGGUAGGAGAGCGUUCCGUAAGCCUGCGAAGGUGCCUUGUAAAGGGUGCUGGAGGUAUCGGAAGUGCGAAUGCUGACAUGAGUAGCGAUAAAGGGGGUGAAAGGCCCCCUCGCCGUAAGCCCAAGGUUUCCUACGCAACGUUCAUCGGCGUAGGGUGAGUCGGCCCCUAAGGCGAGGCAGAAAUGCGUAGCUGAUGGGAAGCAGGUCAAUAUUCCUGCACCAUUGUUAGAUGCGAUGGGGGGACGGAUCGCGGAAGGUUGUCCGGGUGUUGGACGUCCCGGUCGCUGCAUUGGAGAAGGCGCUUAGGCAAAUCCGGGCGCAGGAUUCAAGGGUGUGGCGCGAGCGACUUCGGUCGCGAAGCAAUUGGAAGUGGUUCCAAGAAAAGCCUCUAAGCUUCAGUCUAACGAUGACCGUACCGCAAACCGACACAGGUGGGCGAGAUGAGUAUUCUAAGGCGCUUGAGAGAACUCGGGAGAAGGAACUCGGCAAAUUGGUACCGUAACUUCGGGAUAAGGUACGCCCUUGUAGCUUGACCAGCCUGCGCUGGAAGGGUGAAGGGGUUGCAAUAAACUGGUGGCUGCGACUGUUUAAUAAAAACACAGCACUCUGCAAACACGAAAGUGGACGUAUAGGGUGUGACGCCUGCCCGGUGCCGGAAGAUUAAAUGAUGGGGUGCAAGCUCUUGAUUGAAGUCCCGGUAAACGGCGGCCGUAACUAUAACGGUCCUAAGGUAGCGAAAUUCCUUGUCGGGUAAGUUCCGACCUGCACGAAUGGCGUAACGAUGGCCACACUGUCUCCUCCCGAGACUCAGCGAAGUUGAAGUGUUUGUGAUGAUGCAAUCUACCCGCGGCUAGACGGAAAGACCCCAUGAACCUUUACUGUAGCUUUGCAUUGGACUUUGAACCGAUCUGUGUAGGAUAGGUGGGAGGCUAUGAAACCGGAACGCUAGUUUCGGUGGAGCCGUCCUUGAAAUACCACCCUGGUUUGUUUGAGGUUCUAACCUUGGUCCGUGAUCCGGAUCGGGGACAGUGCAUGGUAGGCAGUUUGACUGGGGCGGUCUCCUCCCAAAGGGUAACGGAGGAGUACGAAGGUACGCUAGGUACGGUCGGAAAUCGUGCUGAUAGUGCAAUGGCAUAAGCGUGCUUAACUGCGAGACCGACAAGUCGAGCAGGUGCGAAAGCAGGUCAUAGUGAUCCGGUGGUUCUGUAUGGAAGGGCCAUCGCUCAACGGAUAAAAGGUACUCUGGGGAUAACAGGCUGAUACCGCCCAAGAGUUCAUAUCGACGGCGGUGUUUGGCACCUCGAUGUCGGCUCAUCUCAUCCUGGGGCUGUAGCCGGUCCCAAGGGUAUGGCUGUUCGCCAUUUAAAGAGGUACGUGAGCUGGGUUUAAAACGUCGUGAGACAGUUUGGUCCCUAUCUGCCGUGGGCGUUGGAUAUUUGAAGGGGGCUGCUCCUAGUACGAGAGGACCGGAGUGGACGAACCUCUGGUGUACCGGUUGUGACGCCAGUCGCAUCGCCGGGUAGCUAUGUUCGGAAGAGAUAACCGCUGAAAGCAUCUAAGCGGGAAACUCGCCUUAAGAUGAGAUAUCCCUGGAGGCUUGACCUCCUUGAAGGGUCGUUCGAGACCAGGACGUUGAUAGGUCGGGUGUGUAAGCGCAGUAAUGCGUUCAGCUAACCGAUACUAAUUGCCCGUAAGGCUUGAUCCU
rnacentral:rRNA from 1 species